ACGACGAUACCUGCACCAAAAGUGUUGAAUGGUUUCACUUCCACUGAAAUAAGGUGGAUUAUGACAUGACUGUGAAUUCCCUGGCGUUGAUGGGAGAAUACUCCAAAUGGUUUUGUGUCAGCUGCUAAAGUGAAGCUCAUGCACAAAGGAGGUUUCUAGUUUGGCUUCCCUCCUCUUCUUUUACAGGACAUGGACGGGUUAAGGUCAGGCAUGAAGGGGGUGACAUAUGUUGGUCUUAAAGUGAUGCGUGGAGGUUUAUUUUUUUUCUCCUCACCUUUGACCUCACCUCUAUGACUCUUGUUUCAUUCUCACUGCAGGGACUCUACCAUCUUUGUGUCUUGAGGAAGACACAAACAGCAUGGAAAGAACAAGGAGAGAGAAGGAAGAAAAUACAUUAUUCGACCAAAUAGUAUCUGCAGAGAGAACUACUGCUGAAGUCAUGGAAGAAAUAUGAAUGUGCUGGCUGACAGGUGGACAGCCACCCCUGACACGAGAAGAUCCACUCCACCCACAAUCCUCAGCGCUUUCUUCCGCAUCAGAAUGGAAAUAUGAGACGGCACAGUGAGGACACGUCUUCGGCGAGCCAAUCGGAGUGCAGCACAUCUGGAGGAAUCUGUCUGCAGCAAGCCCAGCUGGCAGCACAAUGGGAGACAGCAGAGGAGAGGAGCAAGAUGUUAGAUUCAAAAUGGCUGAGGGAUUUUUUUAAAAAUACAUCUUCACCUGACUUUA